AUUUCUUCACCUAUUCUUGCCACUUUGAGUUUAGCUUUGCUUUGACAUCAACAAUGAAAUCCCAUUUGAAAUCCUCUUCAAAUGCUUAUUCUUGAUUGAUAAAAAAUAUCUCAUGAAUUGCAAGCUUCCAAUAACAAUACCAAGAUGUAACACAUAAGCUCAUAUCUUUUUAUCAUAUGCACAUGAAGUCUUGCAAUAUCCAUUUGUGAAUAUCACUAUUCUUUUCUUAAUGAUCUCUUUACUUGUCAAUCAAGCUAUCACAUGAUUUGGAGACUUAUAGAUCAACCAUAAAGCAUAUCCCCAAGUUUCACUUCACCCUUGCUUGUCAUUAAUCAUACAAUUUCAUCACGGGAUCACAUACUUGUUUGCUUUUCUUUAUUGUGAGCUAUAUAAUACAUAUUCAACUUAUGAGAUAAUAUCACAUGACAAAUAUGAGAGUAAAACUAUGCUCACAAUCUUAAACAAGUUAGUCCUUUAAUCAUUUUGUCAUUCAAUUCACCAAAACACACUUAGGGGCCUAGAUGCACUUUCAAUCGUCCCUUUUUGGUGAUUGAUGACACCCCGAUUAAAUCUUACAAAUAUAUCAAUAAAGUGUUUUUAGAUUCUCAGAUAUAUUAUAAGCUCCCCC
rnacentral:lncRNA from 1 species